rnacentral:rRNA from 1 species
UACGUAGGGGGCAAGCGUUGUCCGGAUUUACUGGGCGUAAAGAGCGUGUAGGCGGCCAAGCAGGUCCGUUGUGAAAACUGGAGGCUUAACCUCCAGACGUCGACGGAAACCGCGUGGCUAGAGUCCGGAAGAGGAGAGUGGAAUUCCUGGUGUAGCGGUGAAAUGCGCAGAUAUCAGGGAAGAACACCAAUGGCGAAGGCAGCUCGCUGGGACGGUACUGAGCUG